rnacentral:rRNA from 1 species
AUUGAACGCUGGCGGCAGGCCUAACACAUGCAAGUCGAAUGGUAACAGGAAACAGCUUGCUGUUUCGCUGACGAGUGGCGGACGGGUGAGUAAUGUCUGGGAAACUGCCUGAUGGAGGGGGAUAACUACUGGAAACGGUAGCUAAUACCGCAUAACGUCGCAAGACCAAAGAGGGGGACCUUCGGGCCUCUUGCCAUCAGAUGUGCCCAGAUGGGAUUAGCUAGUAGGUGGGGUAACGGCUCACCUAGGCGACGAUCCCUAGCUGGUCUGAGAGGAUGACCAGCCACACUGGAACUGAGGCACGGUCCAGACUCCUACGGGAGGCAGCAGUGGGGAAUAUUGCACAAUGGGCGCAAGCCUGAUGCAGCCAUGCCGCGUGUAUGAAGAAGGCCUUCGGGUUGUAAAGUACUUUCAGCGGGGAGGAAGGGAGUAAAGUUAAUACCUUUGCUCAUUGACGUUACCCGCAGAAGAAGCACCGGCUAACUCCGUG